UACGGAGGGUGCGAGCGUUGUCCGGAAUCACUGGGCGUAAAGGGCGCGUAGGCGGUUGGGGUAGUCCGUGGUGAAAGCUCGGAGCUCAACUCCGAGUCGGCCGUGCGAACUGGGCUCACUGGAGCAUAGUAGAGGCAGGUGGAAUUCCUGGUGUAGCGGUGGAAUGCGCAGAUAUCAGGAGGAACACCAAUAGCGAAGGCAGCUCGCUGGGACGUUACUGACACUGAGGCGCGAAAGCGUGGGGAGCGAACAGG
rnacentral:rRNA from 1 species